UACGUAGGGGGCAAGCGUUGUCCGGAAUCAUUGGGCGUAAAGAGCGUGUAGGCGGCUCGGUAAGUCCGCUGUGAAAGUCCAGGGCUCAACCCUGGAAUGCCGGUGGAUACUGUCAAGCUAGAGUCCGGAAGGGGCGAGUGGAAUUCCUGGUGUAGCGGUGAAAUGCGCAGAUAUCAGGAGGAACACCAAUGGCGAAGGCAGCUCGCUGGGACGUGACUGACGCUGAGACGCGAAAGCGUGGGGAGCAAACAGG
rnacentral:rRNA from 1 species